AAAACGACUCUCGGCAACGGAUACCUCGGCUCUCGCAUCGAUGAAGAGCGUAGCGAACUGCGAUACUUGGUGUGAAUUGCAGAAUCCCGUGAACCAUCGAGUCUUUGAACGCAAGUUGCGCCCGAAGCCAUUAGGCCGAGGGCACGUCUGCCUGGGCGUCACGC
rnacentral:rRNA from 1 species